CAGCCGCCGCGGUAAAACGUAGGUGGCAAGCGUUGUCCGGAAUUAUUGGGCGUAAAGGGCUCGCAGGCGGUUUCUUAAGUCUGAUGUGAAAGUCCCCGGCUCAACCGGGGAGGGUCAUUGGAAACUGGGAAACUUGAGUGCAGAAGAGGAGAGUGGAAUUCCACGUGUAGCGGUGAAAUGCGUAGAGAUGUGGAGGAACACCAGUGGCGAAGGCGACUCUCUGGUCUGUAACUGACGCUGAGGAGCGAAAGCGUGGGGAGCGAACAGGAUUAGAUACCCCCGUAGUCCCUGUCUCUUAUAC
rnacentral:rRNA from 1 species